rnacentral:rRNA from 1 species
AGAGUUUGAUCAUGGCUCAGAUUGAACGCUGGCGGCGUGCCUAACACAUGCAAGUCGAGCGGUAACAGGUGUAGCAAUACAUGCUGACGAGCGGCGAACGGGUGAGUAAUGCUUCGGAAUCUACCCAGUAGUGGGGAAUAACCAACCGAAAGGUUGGCUAAUACCGCAUACGUCCUACGGGAGAAAGCGGGGGAUCGCAAGACCUCGCGCUAUCGGAUGAGCCGAAGCCGGAUUAGCUAGUUGGUAGGGUAACGGCCUACCAAGGCGACGAUCCGUAGCUGGUCUGAGAGGACGACCAGCCACACUGGGACUGAGACACGGCCCAGACUCCUACGGGAGGCAGCAGUGGGGAAUAUUGGACAAUGGGGGAAACCCUGAUCCAGCGACGCCGCGUGUGUGAAGAAGGCCUGCGGGUUGUAAAGCACUUUUAGUGGGGAUGAAAAGUGCAGAGCUAACACCUCUGCAUCUUGACCUAACCCACAGAAAAAGCACCGGCUAACUCUGUGCCAGCAGCCGCGGUAAUACAGAGGGUGCGAGCGUUAAUCGGAAUUACUGGGCGUAAAGCGUGCGUAGACGGUAAUGUAAGUCGGGUGUGAAAGCCCCGGGCUCAACCUGGGAAUUGCAUUCGAGACUGCAUUGCUUGGGUGCGGAAGAGGGAAGCGGAAUUUCCGGUGUAGCGGUGAAAUGCGUAGAUAUCGGAAGGAACACCAGUGGCGAAAGCGGCUUCCUGGUCCGACACCGACGUUCAGGCACGAAAGCGUGGGGAGCAAACAGGAUUAGAUACCCCCGUAGUCC